AUUGAACGCUGGCGGCAUGCUUUACACAUGCAAGUCGAACGGUAACAGGUUAAGCUGACGAGUGGCGAACGGGUGAGUAAUGCAUCGGAACGUGCCCGGUCGUGGGGGAUAACACUUCGAAAGAAGUGCUAAUACCGCAUACGAUCUGAGGAUGAAAGCGGGGGACCGUAAGGCCUCGCGCGAUCGGAGCGGCCGAUGUCAGAUUUGGUAGUUGGUGGGGUAAUGGCUCACCAAGCCGACGAUCUGUAGCUGGUCUGAGAGGACGACCAGCCACAGUGGGACUCAGAACGGGCCCAGACUCCGACGGGAGGCAGCAGUGGGGAAUUUUGGACAAUGGGCGCAAGCCUGAUCCAGCAAUGCCGCGUGCAGGAAGAAGGCCUUCGGGUUGUAAACUGCUUUUGUACGGAGCGAAAAGGCUCUAUCUAAUACAGGGGGCUCAUGACGGUACCGUAAGAAUAAGCACCGGCUAACUACGUGCCAGCCGCCGCGGUAA
rnacentral:rRNA from 1 species